GGUUUCGAGGUCACUUCCGGAUUAUGGGUCUCCGCCCCCUCGUUCCCGGAAGUAGAAGACAGCGGCGUUGCCAUGGCGGCGUCUCUGGGGCAGGUGUUGGCUCUGGUGCUGGUGGCCGCUCUGUGGGGUGGCACGCAGCCGCUGCUGAAGCGGGCCUCCGCCGGCCUGCAGCGGGUUCAUGAGCCGACCUGGGCCCAGCAGUUGCUACAGGAGAUGAAGACACUCUUCUUGAAUACUGAGUACCUGAUGCCCUUUCUCCUCAACCAGUGUGGAUCCCUUCUCUAUUACCUCACCUUGGCAUCGACAGAUCUGACCCUGGCUGUGCCCAUCUGUAACUCUCUGGCCAUCAUCUUCACACUGAUUGUUGGGAAGGCCCUUGGAGAAGAUAUUGGUGGAAAACGAGCAGUUGCUGGCAUGGUGCUCACCGUGAUAGGAAUUUCACUCUGCAUCACAAGCUCAGUUCCAUGGACUGCAGAACUCCAGCUGCAUGGAAAGGGCCAGCUGCAGACUUUGAGCCAGAAAUGCAAACGGGAGGCCUCUGGGGCUCAGUCAGAGCGCUUUGGCUGAAUGAGGGGUGGAACCGAGGGGAAGAAGGUAGAGAGCUGUGAGCCCCAGCCCCACCUGACUCCAGCACACCUGGCGAGUAGUAGCUGUCAAUAAAUCUAUGGUAAACAGACAAGAGGUUAGUAAGUAUUCUUUUAUUGUGACAAACCCACUCCCCCGUUUGUGGCCUGUCUCCCAGGCUCAGUCAGCUACUCCUUUCUCUGGCCAGAGAAUCCCAUAAGGAAAUAGUCCCCACAGCCAGGGCUGCUCUGCUCAGAGGAAGGGAAGGCUGGGCUGUGGGUUUAGGAGCAGGAGAACGGGGAGGGCUGAGGAGGCCGCAGCGUACCCUGUGAGCCCAGCGGAGGUGCUGGCUCCUGAGGAACAAGCUGCUGGAGGCUAAGGACGAAAGGUGGCCAGAGUAGUGGUCCCCAGUUGCCCUCUGGAGCUGCUGGCUCUCAAGAUGGCAGAGCUGGGGCUGAGGCUGAGAUAGCAGCCCCAGCCCCAGGCUGGUUUUCCAGGGACAAGGCCUCUUCCACUAUCUGUGCUGCCCUCUGCAGGAGGUGGAAGGCCAUACAGAAUGGAGCCGUGAGUAUGGCCAGCCUCCAGCUCUCAGCCAGGAAGUCCCCAACCCCAAGGAAGGAAGAAACUGGAAAUUAGGAACUGCUUCCUCAUUUAACAAGCUUACCUGAUCCAAGGGCUCCUCUGUCUGGGUGUCUUCAUCAUCUGCUACUUCCAGGGCCCCCGCUGUCUCCUUCCUUCGGUGGGGAGCUCCGUAUACUCCUAUAACUCCUAAAGAGGGGAGGCAGCACUGGGUGAUGCCCAGGCUGAAGAGCCCUCAGCAUUCCUGCCCUGGACCUUCAUGCUAGCCCCUUUCCCUCCCCUGAACCUGGUUCUGCAUUCCCCACCACCUCCCAGGAUGGCAAGGAAGUGAGAGGUGGGCCUUUGGUCCCACUCCCAUCCCCUCUAUAUCCCACCCCUGAAGUCUCAUCGCUUUAAGCACUGCCCUUUCCAGGUGCUUCUUUUCAUGUGAUGAGGCCCUGUGAAGAAGGGACAGGAUAUACAGACGGGGGCAGCUGGAGACAGUUAUGAUGAGUGCCGGCUUUGUGUCUGAGCAUUCUGCUCCCAUGGACAUCCCCAACAACAGCAGGGACCAACCUAUGUCACUGUCAAAGGGCAGCUGAGAAGGUCCUGAGCCCCAGGGACCCCUCACCUGAUGGGAAUGAGAGUGUGGGGAGCUUGCUUCUUGGCUGAAUGGUCUGCUGGGGUCUGGCAUAGAAAGCAGAUGGCUUAAUUCGGUCUGGUUCCUUUGGAGAGGGCUGGGUUACCUGGGCCCUGUGGCCUUGGGCCUAGAGAAAGGACACUGGGCUUGGACCCUGAUUGCUGGCCAUUCUUACCUUUCCUACUCCCCAGUUCAGGCUUCAGAGAGCCCCUGGCGCCUGCAGGAACAUGGCAGAGGAGACGCCGUCUGUCUUCACAAAGUACGUCCUCCCUCCUUGCUGCCUCUUCCCACCAGCCUGACUUAUCCAGGGACAGAGCAGUAGGUGCCUGGCACUCCUCGAUGCCCAGUGAAACCAGACUGUGCUUCCCCACCCCCACCGCCAUGCCCCAUGCUCACUGGCUCAUUUCUUGGGAGGGCUUAGAGCUGGAUAAUAUAAGUUCCCUUGGACCCUGCUGUGCCAAAUACGCCAAUUCUCUCUCCCAGCGUCCAACCUAGCAAGAAGGUAUUAAAUCCUGCAAAUCAGA